rnacentral:lncRNA from 1 species
GGCUGGCGAGGGACACUUCUUCAUCAAGGAGUCACAGAGAGAGUGCUGCCUUGGAAAAACAAGGCCAGAGUUGAGGUUGGAAAUGCUUUCUGGACAUCGCAUCCAGUGAUCCAGGAACUUGUUCACCAGUUUAACGGGUUUGCUGGACCUUUCCUUCAUCCGUCUUGUCCCCUGAGGAUCUCACAAUGUCACUUCCCGUAGUCAGCUGUAUCCGUGGGGCACCACACCUCCUUCAGUAACACCAGGACAGGACAGGGCGGUGCUGCUCACCAAGAGCCCGGGUCUUGGGUUUUGACGACUGCUGGUUUCUGGGAUUUGCUGAGGCUGGGAUUUACUAUGCCAGCGGAUGAGGCCUCCCUUGCCAGUGGAACCCACCCUGGCCCCGGGUCUCCAAGCUCGAGCAUCCCCUCUCCAUUCUCCAGGGGAACUCUGUGCCUUACCCUUCUAGAACGCUCACCCCUGCUACAUCCACAGCUUUCCUCUCCCUGUUGUUCUUGGUCACCACGCCAAGAUCCUUCGACUUUCUCUCAUCUGAUGACAGCUCUUCUCUUGCCCUGGCCUCACCCACCUUCUCACAGCUGUCUCUCCCAGCCUUCCACCAGCCCACACCCUAGGACAAACAAAUAUCCCCAACGUUUCCACUGGGCUGCUGGAAUGGCGCGGACCACUGUACUGUACGGUCAGAGCUGGACACAAGAAGCACACCAGGCGGAGCGGUGCAUCUCCCCCAUGGGCACAGGCAAGAGAAGGCUCACUGCAGAGACCGUAC